GAUGAACGCUGGCGGCGUGCCUAAUACAUGCAAGUCGAGCGAACAGACGAGGAGCUUGCUCCUCUGACGUUAGCGGAGGACGGGUGAGAAACACGUGGAUCACCUACCUAUCAGACUGGGAAAACUACGGGAAACCGGAGAUAAUACCGGAUAAUAUAUUGAACCGCAUGGUUGAAUAGUGAGAGACGGUUUUGCUGUCACUUAUAGAUGGAUCUGCGCCGCAUUAGCUAGUUGGUAAGUUAAAGGCUUACGAAGGCAACGAUGCGUAGCCGACCUAUGUGGGGGGUCGGCCACACGGGAACGGAGACACGGUCCAUACUCCUACGGGAGGCAGCAGUAGGCAACCUGCCGCAGUGGUCGAAAGCCUGACGGAGCGACGGCGCGUGAGUGAUGAAGAUCUUCGGAGCGUAAUACUCUCUUAUUAGUGAUGAACAAAUGUGUAAGUAACUAUGCCCUUCUUGACGGUACCUAGUCAGAAAGCCACGGCUAACUACGUG
rnacentral:rRNA from 1 species